CCAGGUUGAUUCUGCCUGACGUAGACGCUAUACUCUAAGAUUAACCCAUGCAUGUUAUUGAAUAUAAAGAAAAGACGAACAGCUCAGUAACUCUUAUUUUAUUUGAUGUAUUAGGACUAUUAACUAUGUUAAAUUAUAGAUAAUAAUAAUACAAUAAGAAUAAGAUCUAUCAGUUAGUUGUUAAGGUAAUGGCUUAACAAGACAGUGACGGAUAACGGUAUUACUUUGUAAUAUUCCGGAGAAGGAGCCUGAGAGAUUGCUACUAAGUCUAAGGAUUGCAGCAGGGGCGAAACUUGACCUAUGAUAUAUUAUUGAGGCAGUUAUGAGUAGUAUUUUAUAAUUAUUGUAAUAUUGUAAGUAUAUAUUACAAGAUAAAUCGGAGGGCAAAUCGAGUGCCAGCAGCCGCGGUAAUACUUGUUCCGAUAGUGUGUAUGAUGAUUGAUGCAGUUAAAAAGUCUGUAGUUUAAAUAAUAAUAAGCAUUGUAAGGUAUAUUGUAUGGUUAGGAGAGAGAUGAAAUGUGAUAACCCUAACUGGAUGAACAGAAGCGAAAGCUAUAUACUUAAAUGUUUUAUUAGAACAAGGACGUAAGCUAGAGGAUCGAAGAUGAUUAGAUACCAUUGUAGUUCUAGCAGUAAACUAUGUUAAAUCAUAGAUAUAUUUUAAAUAUAUAUUUAUGUAAAGAAAUUAAGAUUAUAUUGACUCUGGGGAUAGUAUGAUCGCAAGAUUGAAAAUUAAAGAAAUUGACGGAAGAAUACCACAAGGAGUGGAUUGUGCGGCUUAAUUUGACUCAACGCGGGGUAAUUUACCAGGUAUAACAUGAUAUAAUAUUUUAUCAUGAUAGUGGUGCAUGGCCGUUUCCAAUGGAUGCUGUGAAGUAAUGAUUAAUUUCAACAAGAUGUGAGACCCUCUAUUAAGACAGAUGUAGUGAUACAUAUGAAGGAGAGGAUUAAAACAGGUCCGUUAUGCCCUAAGAUAAUCUGGGUUGCACGCGCAAUACAAUAAUAUUUAAUAUUAUAAGGGAUAAUAUAAUGUAAGAUAUAUUUGAACAUGGAAUUGCUAGUAAAUUUUAU
rnacentral:rRNA from 1 species